UAUUUGGGCCUAAAGCGUCCGUAGCCGGCCCGGCAAGUCCCCCCUUAAAGCCCACGGCUCAACCGUGGGAGCGGGGGGAUACUGCCGGGCUAGGGGGCGGGAGAGGCGGGGGUACUCCCGGGGUAGGGGCGAAAUCCGUUAAUCCCGGGAGGACCGCCAGUGGCGAAUGCGCCCGGCUGGAACGCGCCCGACGGUGAGGGACGAAAGCUGGGGGAGCAAAGGGGAUUAGAUACCCCCGUAGUCCCAGCUGUAAACGAUGCGGGCUAGGUGUAGGGUGGGCUUCGAGCCCGCCCAGUGCCGUAGGGAAGCCGUUAAGCCCGCCGCCUGGGGAGUACGGCCGCAAGGCUGAACCUUACAGGAAUCGGCGGGGGAGCACCACAAGGGGUGAAGCUUGCGGUUUAAUUGGAGUCAACGCCGGAAAGCUUACCCGGGGCGACAGCAGGAUGAAGGCCAGGCUAACGACCUUGCCAGACGAGCUGAGAGGAGGUGCAUGGCCGUCGCCGGCUCGUGCCGUGAGGUGUCCGGUUAAGUCCGGUAACGAGCGAGACCCCCGCCCCCAGUUGCCACCCGAUCCCUCAGUGGCCUUCCACUGAGGGAUUGGAGCACUCUGGGGGGACUGCCGGCGUUAAGCCGGAGGAAGGUGGGGGCUACGGCAGGUCAGUAUGCCCCGAAACCCCGGGGCUACACGCGAGCUGCAAUGGCGGGGACAACGGGUACCGACCCCGAAAGGGGGAGGUAAUCCCUUAAACCCCGCCUCAGUAGGAAUCGAGGGCUGCAACUCGCCCUCGUGAACGUGGAAUCCCUAG
rnacentral:rRNA from 1 species